UCUCCAUUCCCCACACUCUCUCGCCUAUCUGACCGGUGAGAGAGUGCGCGAAAUGAAGAGA
rnacentral:pre_miRNA from 1 species